GAAUGCUCGGGUAGCCUAGUGGUUAGAGCGUCCGCCUCAAAAGCGGGAGGUCAAGGGUUAGAUUCCGGGCCGAUUCA